CGCAGCUUCCCUAGAUUAGGCUUGGGAGGCAAGAGGAGGCCUCCUGACCUUUCACACUGCCUUUUUAAUAUUAAGAUGAAGGCACACUCCACAACUUUUUUCCAGCCAGGCCCAGACAUGUCCGUCCUUGUAAGUUAAAAGCUUCCAUGGGAGCCUUCCUUCCUAAUCAAGCCUCGUGGUGGAACAUCGGACCCAUUCAAGAGGAAGGAUGAAAGCUCUAUAUAGGAGCACGAUGUGAAUGGAAGAAACCUGUCAUUAUUGGAUCACCUCCCACCCUGAGGCUCCCCAAGACUUUGAACAGUUCUUCAGUGAUCCUUACAGAAAGACACCCUCUCCAAACAAACGCAGCAUUUAUAUACAGUCCAUUGGCUCUCUAGGAAACACCAGAAUUAUCAGUGAAGAAUAUAUUAAAUGGCUCACGGGCUACUGUAAAGCAUAUUUCUAUGGCUUGAGAGUAAAACUCCUAGAACCAGUUCCUGUUUCUGUAACAAGAUGUUCCUUUAGAGUCAAUGAGAACACACACAACCUACAAAUUCAUGCAGGGGACAUCCUGAAGUUCUUGAAAAAGAAGAAACCUGAAGAUGCCUUCUGUGUUGUGGGAAUAACAAUGAUUGAUCUUUACCCAAGAGACUCGUGGAAUUUUGUCUUUGGACAGGCCUCUUUGACAGAUGGCACUGGUGAGGUGGAUUGAUGAUGAAUCUUCUGACACACCUGGAGCAACUCCAGAACACAGUCGCGAGGAUAAUGGGAAUUUACCGAAACCCGUGGAAGCCUUUAAGGAAUG
rnacentral:sRNA from 1 species